GAAUGGGCGACUCCCUGGCGACAUGUCGCGUGGGUGAAGCCCGUAUGGCCGUGAGUCGUCGCCCAAAGAGUCGUACCUUGUUCUGGUCGCCGCUGGAUUUUCAACACGUUGAACAUUUUCGGAGACCUGCUGCGACUAUGACGGGUGCCGGCAGUCACCGAAAUAGUC